CCAAGACAGUGUCCUUUUAGAACCCAAGGCACAGGAGUUGGAUUUAAGAGGAAAAGGCAAUAGAAGAAAAUAACAGCAAAGAUACGUGUGUCUGCAGGAAGUGUUUGCAGAACAUUGUUAAACAUUAUUCAGAGGUUCCCAAUUUCUGAGGUACAGAAAAAGCAGAAGUGUUACAUUGUGGAAGAGUGCUAACAUAAGCCAAUGUCAACUUGGCAGGGGCCCAGCGUGGAAGCCAUAGUGGAAGAGCUUCCAGAGUUCAGCCCCAGGAAAUUCAGCUGGUCCCGAGUGCCAGGCUGAGGAAAUGGGUCCACAGACACUGCUGCUCAGGAGGUACCUGGAGAUACUGGCACCGAGACGGCCCUUCCCCGAGUGUGGGCCUCCGCCAGCACCCUCUCACGGAACAGGCCUGGAAGGACCGUAGAGGCCCUGCGCGGCACCUCUGGGCCUGGCUGGCACUUCUCUUCUCUGCCCUGCGUCCUUCUUCGCCCCUGCUCUCUAGGAAUUCUGAUCUGUGAGGCUAGAGAAAGUGAUUGUUAGGCCCUGCCCUGCAGUGGACUGGAACCCCCAGAGCAGUGGCUCCAAGCUCUUGAAAUCACACACCUGUGGCAGGAAAAUGUUUGAGGAUAUACUCCUAAUGUGUACUUCUGUGUACUAUGUACAUUAUAAACACAUAUCAAACUUUUUAAAUAAUUUAUAUAAUUUUAAAGGAUGGAAGAAAAAACAAUUAUAAAUUUGUUUUUAAUCUUAUUUUAUUCAAGGUAUAUAUGUGAUUGAAUAUGUUCUUUUUGAAAAAAAUCUUGGUUUAUCACUUUCCGGUACAGUAAUUCCAAAGUAUGUACUACGAGUGUGUAUUUUAGUACUUCAUUUUAAUAGUGUCUCUUGCUGCAGAGCUCCUCACAAAGAAAGGUAGAUUUAAAUGGAACAUUAGCAUCUUUGUGCUUAUGAAAAUCAUGAAUCCUGUUUUUCAGUUUAUCUGCUUCCAGAUUUCCAGGUAUCUGCUGAACUUCACAGGCGCUCUUGCAAACUUUCAGAGAAGUGUUUUUAAUUUAACAAGGCUUCAAACCCCUCUGAAAUUCAUUGUUUGGAAUGCUUUUAAACAGAUUAGGAAAUUGUUUUAUAAUUCCUAAAAUUGUACAAAUAUAGCAGUACAGUGUGGAGAUACAUGAGAUUUUCAGAGAUGGCUUAUUAUUUUGAAACUUUUGUUGGCUUUUUAAAUAUUUAUUUGUGAUUGUACAUGGUAAGAUUCACUCUUUGGCAGAUAGCCCUAAGAGUUUUGACAAACACACAGUCUUGUAACCACCCCCAUGAUCAAGAAAACAGAACAGUUCCCUCUGUAUUUGAGCUCCCUCCUUAUCCAUAACCUUGGCAGCCGCUGAUCUUUAUUCUUAACCUAGUGUAUGUCAAAUUCAUCCAUGUUGUUAAGUGUAUUAAUUGUUUAUCCCUUUGUAUGACAGAGUACUGUUACAUGGAUAUAUCAGUUGUUUAUCCAUUCACCAGUUGAGGGACAUUUAGGUUGUUUCCAGUUUUGGACGAUUAUGAAUAAAGCUGUUAAAAACAUUCUCAUACAGGUUUUAUGUGAACAUAGGUUUUCAUUUCACUUGGGUAAAUGAAACUGCCAAAUUCGUUCUUGUUCAAAGUGCUAUGCUGUUGAGUCCCAGUUGCUACACUUUCUUGACAGCAGUUGGUUUUAUCUGUUAAAAAGAAAAUUUUAACCAUUCUCCUAGGUGUGCAGUGAUACCUCAUUCUGUUUUUAAUUUGGAUUUCCCGUAAUGACUAGUGAUGUCAAAUGUCUUUUCAUGUGCCUAUCUGCCAUCUGUUUAUCUUUGGUGAAGUCUGUUCAAAUCUGCUGCCCAUUUAAAACAUUUUUUCUUCUUGUUGAGUUUUGAGAGUUCUUUAUCUAUUUCAGAUACAAGUCCUUUGUCAAAUAAGUGAUUUGCAGACAUCUUCUCCCAGUCUGUGGCUUAUCUUUUCAUUCUCUUAAUAGUGUCUUUUUCAGAGCAAAAGUUAAAAUUUUCAUGAAGUCCAAUUUAGCAGUUUUUUUCUUUUAUAAAUUGUGUUUUUGGUGUAGUAUCCAAGAAAUCUUUUCUAACACAAAGUUCUAAAGAUUUUUCUCCUGUACUUUCUUCUAA